AUCCUUGAUCUCUGGUCUAUCAUGAAUUCAAACAUGUCUAUCUAUGAAUUUCAUAGACCUACGGGCACACAUCUCGAACCACCAAAAUCUUCAAAGCCUAUCAUAGCCUCUAGUUUUGAAAUAGACCCUGAAUACAUAGAAUUUGUUCAAAAACAACCUUUCUGAGGAGAAGGUGAGGAAAACCCAUACACACACACCUAAGAGAGUUUUAUCGAGUCUGUGACCUCCUUCGCAUAGAAGGCAUGUCCGAUGAGACCCUUAAAUGGAAGCUCUUUCUAUUCUCUUUAACAGGAAAAGCUAGACAUUGGUACAAACUCAAAGUAGGGAGUGUUCGUGG
rnacentral:lncRNA from 1 species